CGGACGACGCGUGGCGGCGUGGAUUAGGCAUGCAAGUCGAACGGUAUCAUCCUUUCGGGGGUGAGAGAGUGGCGAACUGGUGAGUAACACGUAGGUUAUCUACCCUCAAGACGGGGACAACCCAGGGAAACUUGGGCUAAUACCGGAUGUGAGCAACUUUUAGUUGUUUGAAAGGUGGCGUAAGCUGUCGCUUGGGGAUGAGCCUGCGUCCUAUUAGUUAGUUGGUGAGGUAACGGCUCACCUAGGCAAUGAUAGGUAGGCGGCCUUAACGGGUGGUCGCCCACACUGGGAUUGAGAUACGGCCCAGACUCCUACGGGAGGCAGCAGUCGAGAAUAGUCUACAAUGGUCGGAAGACUGAUAGUGCGACGCCGCGUGAACGAUGAAUCCCUUCGGGGUGUAAAGUUCUUUUAUAUGUGAGCAGUGCUUCUUAUAUUAACAGUAUGGGGAGAGAGAUAUUAGCAUAUGAAUAAGCAACGGCUAACUCCGUG
rnacentral:rRNA from 1 species